UGGGGAAUUUUCCGCAAUGGGCGAAAGCCUGACGGAGCAAUACCGCGUGAGGGAGGAAGGCUCUUGGGUUGUAAACCUCUUUUCUCAGGGAAGAAUCCUGACGGUACCUGAGGAAUCAGCAUCGGCUAACUCCGUGCCAGCAGCCGCGGUAAUACGGAGGGUGCAAGCGUUAUCCGGAAUCACUGGGCGUAAAGGGCACGUAGGCGGUCUAGUAAGUCCGAUGUUAAAGCGUGGGGCUCAACCCCAUCACGGCGUUGGAUACUGCUAGGCUUGACGACUGGAGAGGUGAGUAGAAUUACCAGUGUAGCGGUGGAAUGCGUAGAUACUGGUAGGAAUACCCAUUGCGAAGGCAGCUCACUGGACAGUACGUGACGCUGAGGUGCGAAAGUGUGGGGAGCAAACCGGAUUAGAUACCCGUGUAGUCC
rnacentral:rRNA from 1 species